UUGGCAACCAAGGAAAGCAAAAUCCUGUAUUUACCCACUGAACAGGUACAGCAUGGGCAGACUUCUCCAUAACAUCUGGCUAAUGUGAUGUGCUUUGACAUGGAGUGACUACCUAUGAUGCUGAAAAUAUACUUUAUCUCCAUGCCCAUUCAGCCUUUGGCCUCU
rnacentral:sRNA from 1 species